rnacentral:rRNA from 1 species
GUGUCAGCAGCCGCGGUAACACGUAGGGUCCGAGCGUUGUCCGGAAUUACUGGGCGUAAAGCGCGCGCAGGCGGUCCGGUCAGUCGAUGGUGAAAGCCCCACGCUCAACGUGGGAAGGUCCGUCGAGACGGCCGGACUGGAGGCAGGGAGAGGCCGGUGGAAUUCCGGGUGUAGUGGUGAAAUGCGUAGAGAUCCGGAGGAACACCAGAGGCGAAGGCGGCCGGCUGGACCUGACCUGACGCUGAGGCGCGAAGGCGUGGGGAGCGAACGGGAUUAGAUACCCCGGUAGUCCACGCGGUAAACGAUGUGCACUGGGUAUGGCGGGAGUUGACCCCUGCCGUGCCGGCGCUAACGCAGUAAGUGCACCGCCUGGGGAGUACGGCCGCAAGGCUAAA